ACUUGAUACACCUAUGAAUGCUUAUUUUUGUACAAAUGAAGAUAUGUGAUGCUUUCUUUAGUUAGUUAAACUAUGCAUUAUCUCAUACCAACUUGAAGGUGUCUCAUGUGUUUCAGGUUCUUGUUUAACAAUCAAAAAGAACUUGCUCCGCUUUUUUGUGACUGUUGCUUUGUCAUAAGGCACCAGCUUUCAUACUAUUUUAUCAUGCAACUAACCAUUGCGAUAGUUCUCCUGUUAUGCUUUGUAUUGGAGAAAUAUCUACCACUAAUCAUAGUAUAUCGUAAUAAGAGGUCAAGUUUUUAAUGAUACAUAUACAUCUAUUAAAUUAAUUAAAGAUAAGUCAACUUCUGUUUUUUGUAUGGUAUCUUAUGCUGAAAACAGUUCCAUUAUUUCAUCAAAGUUUCCGAUGUUUAAAAUCCCACGUACUUCCAUGAUAAGACCAUAGUGUAUGUCAUUCAUGUUAGUAGAUUUGUCCUCAUUCUAAUCAUGAUACAUAUUGGAUGUGUAAGAGUGAGUUCACCCAGAUACAACAUGUUUUUGCUAUGGAGUUAAGGAUUGUGCAAAUGAAAUAUUUUACAUAUAUGUAGUUUGUGUAUGAUGACUCUAAUAUCUUAGAUGGCAUAAAAAUUUUCUAUGUCAACUUGUGGGUGUUUAAAAGGAAUCCAAGAGAAUGAGAUAGAUUUCAUAUGGGAGUUGAGGCAAUCAACAGGUAAAAUUUUUUGAGAAGUAUAAAAAAUGUUAAAAAUACUAGUUUUUGGAUAAUGGUGACUGGACAAGUUAAUACUUUAUAUGGUAGCAGAGAAACGGUUCAUUUUAGAAUAGUAAUUGAAUCUGAUCAUGUUUAACAUGCUAAUCUUUUGUUAUAGUCUCCUAUCACUAAUUAUAAAUAGGAAGCAAAAAGAGUUUAAUGCUUUUAAAAGAUUCAUUGUUCCAGUUUCAAAUUUGAAGAUAAGGAAGAAUGUGUAUGGUUUACAUAGAAGAGACAAUAGAAUAUGGAGCUCCACCCCAAGUCCAAACUGCAUAAAUAGCACCACUGGAUGAGGAGGCAACUCUGAAACUUUUAGAUAACAUUUCAUUAAGCAAAAAGAAUCAACAAGAGAAAAAGGAUUUACUGAUGUAACUCCAUUGACAUCGAAUUAUUUGUUAGGAAGGUAAUCUUCUGCUUGAACAGAUUUUGUAGCUUCAACCAUGGUUUAGAAAACAGCUUGAAGCAAGUCCUUUUUCCUUGAAGCAAGUCUUAGGAAUGUAAGCCUGUCAGCUAAUAACAUGAUCGAGAGCCGCUAGUGUUCUGCUUAAUAUUCAACUUAGAAUGAAUUCCCUUAUCCGUAAAUAAUUCAAACAUAACCUAAACGUUGUUUGCUCAUGUUUUGGCUUUAUGGCAGUUGAAGCAUGAACAAAGAGGAGGUAAUUUUGUACAAGUUUGGUGAUAGAAUAAUUGCUACAUGAGCCUAAACCUCAUCUAGCCUUGUUAUGAUCAUAGUAUCUACUCUCCGUAGGAAUGAUAUGUCAUAUAUAGAUGAUGCAGACAAAUGCCUAUUACCAGAUUUAGGCUUGAACACAUUAUUUACAAGUCACCAACAUCAAUCACAUGAUCCGAUGGUGGGCAGGGAGUCUCCAGGACUUUUGAUUUUGGUCUCUAGUAGUUUAGAGACUCUAUUACAUUAUUUGUACCCAUUUAGCAUAUUCAGGGACAAACAUAUGGAACCUAAAUGUUCAGAUGCAUAGAAAGAUGUCAGACAUCAAAAAGUUGAUCAUUUACUAAUUGCCUUACUAGUCUGCCAUGAAAUGUCAUGUAGAAGUGGACCAAGGUCUUCCAUUCUGCGGUAUAGUGGGUAUACCACUUCUUACUUAUCUUCUGCUAGAUCAAGAUGCAGAAUGAGCCUUGGUUUUGGCCAGUGUCUACUUCACUAAAUAGGUGGUUGGUUCUGCAACAAGUUUUGGAGCAUGUUAAUUAGUAAUCAACCAACCACACAAGCGGCAUCAAUUCUUCAAAUUUGAUUUCCUGUCAUUUCGGAUCUAUGAAACUAGACAAUUAACUAUUGGAGCCAAGGACAAAAGAUCCUGCUGUCCCAUGAACAUCCAAUAUUCUCCUUGAGUUCAUCUAAUGCUUGAAGCAUUUACAUGAUUUGGAGUAGUUAAAUUUGCAGUUUUGGAGCAACUACCGUACCUGGAGAAAAUACAUCUCUUCUGAGUUUGCUCUUCGUACUUACCAAGGUGUUCCUGGAGCAUUUGCUGGAGUCAAGUGGCUUGCUACGAUUCUAGGAACCAUGCGAACCCCACCAUCAUUCUGAGCCACUUCCCACCAUAACAUGUACUUCCUAUCUUAUAAUUGCAAGACCAUAAUGAGUCCUUGACAUGCAUGGUGGACUUGGUUAUCAACCUGACCCAACUCACACUCUCUCUCCUGAACUGGUGAUUCUGUUCUCUCCAUCUUUGUUCAACUUGGUACAGUUCUCAUAUGCAUUGAGGUGGUCAUUGACUCCAGAUCUAGAAUCGACCCAAAGCGAUAUAUCAGAAUCAUUCAAAACUGUCUAUGGCAAAACAGCGAUGAUAAUGUGUUUGCUGCUUGACGACCACAGCAGUCAAUAUCGUCAAAAGCUUCAAAAGAGAUGCCAAUUUAUUGCCAUUGUCUAUUAAUAAAAGAUUAGAUUGCUUCACGCCAGUAAUCACGUUGAAUGUGGUCGAAAAAAUGAUGUGUUAUCAUCCUUUGUUCAUUAGCCGCCACCUAAAGAUCAUCAGCAGAACUUCCAACAUCAGCAGAGAAGUCAGUUCGUCUCAGC